rnacentral:rRNA from 1 species
CCUACGGGAGGCAGCAGUGGGGAAUCUUCGACAAUGGGCGCAAGCCUGAUCUAGCCAUGCCGCGUGAGCGAUGAAGGCCUUAGGGUUGUAAAGCUCUUUCGGCCGGGAAGAAAUCGUGUUCUCUAACAUAGGACAUGGAUGACGGUACCGGACUAAGAAGCACCGGCUAACUACGUGCCAGCAGCCGCGGUAAUACGUAGGGUGCGAGCGUUAAUCGGAAUUACUGGGCGUAAAGCGUGCGCAGGCGGUUUUGUAAGACAGAUGUGAAAUCCCCGGGCUUAACCUGGGAACUGCGUUUGUGACUGCAAGGCUAGAGUACGGCAGAGGGGGGUGGAAUUCCUGGUGUAGCAGUGAAAUGCGUAGAUAUCAGGAGGAACACCGAUGGCGAAGGCAGCCCCCUGGGCCUGUACUGACGCUCAUGCACGAAAGCGUGGGGAGCAAACAGGAUUAGAUACCCUGGUAGUCCACGCCCUAAACGAUGUCGACUAGUCGUUCGGAGCAGCAAUGCACUGAGUGACGCAGCUAACGCGUGAAGUCGACCGCCUGGGGAGUACGGCCGCAAGGUUAAAACUCAAAGGAAUUGACGG